UACGUAGGGUGCAAGCGUUAAUCGGAAUUACUGGGCGUAAAGCGUGCGCAGGCGGUUGUGCAAGACAGGUGUGAAAUCCCCGGGCUUAACCUGGGAACUGCACUUGUGACUGCACAGCUGGAGUACGGCAGGGGGGGAUGGAAUUCCGCGUGUAGCAGUGAAAUGCGUAGAUAUGCGGAGGAACACCGAUGGCGAAGGCAGUCCCCUGGGCCUGUACUGACGCUCAUGCACGAAAGCGUGGGGAGCAAACAGG
rnacentral:rRNA from 1 species